GAUGAAGAACGCAGCGAAAUGCGAUAAGUAAUGUGAAUUGCAGAAUUCAGUGAAUCAUCGAAUCUUUGAACGCACAUUGCGCCCGCCAGUAUUCUGGCGGGCAUGCCUGUUCGAGCGUCAUUUCAACCAUCAAGCCCCAGGCUUGUGUUGGGGUCCUGCGGCUGCCGCAGGCCCUGAAAACCAGUGGCGGGCUCGCUGUCACACCGGGCGUAGUAGAUUUUAUCUCGCUCAGGGCGUGCUGCGGGUUCCGGCCGUUAAAAAGCCUUUUUUACCCAAGGUUGACCUCGGAUCAGGUAGGAAUACCCGCUGAACUUAAGCAUAUCAAUAAGCGGAGGA
rnacentral:misc_RNA from 1 species